UGUAAAGUUCAAGCUCCGAUUAUGAGGGCGAACCGCGAAUGGCUCAUUAAAUCAGUCGUAAUCUACUUGAUUGUUUAAAGUUUAUAUGGAUAACUGUGGUAAUUCUAGAGCUAAUACAUGCACAAAGGGGGCGACUCUCGCAAGGGAGAAGCUCUGCGUUUAUUAGACUAAGACCAAUGAGGCUGCAGCAAUGUAGUUCUCUCAUUUUAAGGUGACUCUGAGUAAAUAAUGGGUGAAAGCCCAUGUUGCUGACCUGACAUACCAAAAGGCUCGCAAGAGUCUGUCAGGCAAAUCAAUCGAGUGUCUGCUCUAUCAACUGUGGAUGGUAGGGUAACUGCCUACCAUGGUGAUGACGGGUAACGGGGAGUUAGGGCUCGACUCCGGAGAACAAGCCUGAGAAACGGCUAGUAGGACUAAGGUCUGCAGCAGGCGCGAAACUUACACAAUGCUAGAUUAAAAUUAGCGAUGUAGUGAAGAAAAAUAACGAUGUACUUACAUUUAAACAUGUUAGUACAAUUGGAAUGAGACGACUAUAAAUCAGUCAGUCGAGUAACAAAUGGAGGGCAAGUCUGGUGCCAGCAGCCGCGGUAAUUCCAGCUCCAUUAGCAUACAUUAAAGUUGUUGCGGUUAAAAAGCUCGUAGUUGAAUUUUAGGCGAGCUCUAUUGGGAUGCAACCGUUAAGGGUUCAGGCUAUCUUCGGAUUCUUGCAAUCUGGUUGUAUUUUCCCUAUAGGAACUCGCUGUUUCGUCACUUAUUCGAGUGCGAAGCGGGCUGGAACGAUGGUCAACUUCGGUUGCCUUGUUACAGCAAGUUUACCUUGAGAAAAUUAGAGUGCUCACAGCAGGCAGUUGGGGUGUAAAAGCUCCUUUAUGCUUGAAUAAUGUUGCAUGGAAUAAUAGAAUAUGGCCUCGGUUCUAUUCUGUUGGUCUUAUAGAACAACAAAUAAGUUGGUUAAAGCGACCAAAAGUCCGUUUGUGAGUGUGGUCUCUUGUGGCUUGUUAUGCGGAUAGUAGCUCUUGCUUAGAACUUAGUUUGAAUUCUGUUGCCUGGGGCCUUAAAAUCUCAGAGCCUGGUUCUACUAUGCAUCUUUGUAAACUGCUAACGUUAACUUGUUCGCUUGUUUCCAUUAAAGCACUCCUUAUUGGGCUAGCUUUUAAUCAACUGAGGCAAUGGUUAAAAGAAAUAGUCGCGGCGGCAUCAGUACUGCAUCGUGAGAGGUGAAAUUCUUAGACCGAUGCAAGACUAACUGAAGCGAAAGCGUUUGCCGAGGAUAUUUUCAUUAAUCAAGAACGAAAGUUAGAGGUUCGAAGGCGAUCAGAUACCGCCCUAGUUCUAACCAUAAACGUUGCCAACUAGCAAUUGGGUUGCGAUUCCUUUAAUCGGAGCGUAAAAACUCCGAUCAUUAUGAUCCACCCAGCGGCUCUCGUAGGGAAACCAAAGUGUUUGGGUUCCGGGGGAAGUAUGAUUGCAAAGUUGAAACUUAAAGGAAUUGACGGAAGGGCACCACCAGGAGUGGAGCCUGCGGCUUAAUUUGACUCAACACGGGGAAACUUACUAGAUUAGAACUCUGGAAUGAUUGACAGAUUGAUAGCUCUUUCUUGAUUCAGAGGAUGGUGGUGCAUGGCCGUUCUUGAUUCGUAUUCCGAAACGUCUGCUUAAUUGCGAUAACGAGUGAGACCUCACCCAACUAACUAGUCGUUUGGUGCGCUAGGAACGCAAAAGUCCUGGCAGAUCCCUUGUAGGGCGGCAUUUCGGUGUUGUUUUAUGAGGCCUGUUUUGGAUGUUCUCUGCUCGCCAGCGGACUUCUUAGAGGGAUAAACGGUGUUUUAGCCGUAAGAAACGAGGCAAUAACAGGUCUGUGAUGCCCUUAGAUAUUCUAGGCCGCACGCGUGCUACAAUGGCGUGUGCAGAAAGCUUGUUCGAGGUUCGUCUUGGGAAAACUAGUCAUUUGGCUUGGUGUUGAGCAGCAAUGUGAGAUAUCGGUCGGUGGAAAAGUACCCAGGUUAUCGGGCCGAGAGAAACCGUAGUCGAAAGAUUACGGCAAUCAUAAAUACACGCCGUGAUUUGGGAUUGGGGAUUGCAAUUGUUGCCCAUGAACGAGGAAUUCCCAGUAAGCGCAAUUCAUCAUAUUGCGUUGAUUACGUCCCUGCCCUUUGUACACACCGCCCGUCGCUACUACCGAUUGGAAGUUUUAGUGAGGCAUCUGGACCUGCUUUCCAUCGAAGGGGCAACCUUUCUAGGCGAGCGGGGAAGUUUGUCGAACUCAAAUUUCUAGAGGAAGUAAAAGUCGUAACAAGGUUUCCGU
rnacentral:rRNA from 1 species